rnacentral:lncRNA from 13 species
UAGGGAUUGGUCAUCUCUAUCAUCUCUCUUUUUAAUUGCUAGUUUCCCCCAGCAGGAAGUAUAUGGACUCUGAAGGAUGACAACAGAUGACUACAGGUGCAACCACAUGGUGGUCAGUUGUGGCUGCUGUGCCAGAGAUGGGGUCACAGCUACAGCACAUUAAUCAGACUGCAGGUCCGAGGACUGGGAGCCUAAAAUUGGUUUCUGUACGUAUGCUCCACUACCCUCACCAGCCCAGGGUAGUGGUGACCCUGGGCUGAGAGUUACUGCAAUAAGUGGUCUCAAGAGCACAGGCGUGGUCACCCACUCUGAGCAAUAUCACAGUGCUCAAUAGGACCCGGGCAGCCCACCUGGGCAAUUCAGAAGCAGCGCAGAAUCAACCUGCAACGCCAGGGUGAGAGGGCAAAGCUGAGCUGAGAGUUGAAAAUACAGCUCAAGUUUUAGAAAUCUAGAUUUUUAAAACUGGGACGCUCUGUUUCCAAAGAAAAACAAGCUCGCAGUCUCGUUUCAUUGCCCACCGGUGUUUUGGAGCCAUGAACUUUCCCCCACUUCAGAAACAUCUCUGGAAAAUUCAUUUCAUGCUUGUCUACUCCAGUAAAAUCCUUGACUGAACUGUUACAAAACAGGAGACUUGGCCCAGGGGAAUGUGAGAACCAUGUGCACCCGACAACAGUGCAGCCAGUUUGCAUCCUCGAGAGCCCUGGGCUUCUGACCUUGGGUUUACCUGUCAUCUUGGACCAUGACCUUCUCCCAACAGAGGGGACUUUCUGAUUGCUCCUGUGCCAAAGGACCAGGAAGUGGACAGAGCACAUGUAUCACAUUCUUUGACAUCCUAGAAAAUACUCUCUAGCCAGGGAAGGGCUGCCGGUGCCCUGGCUUUCACUAGCACCUGAGCGGCAGUCUUAGAGACUUACUUGGUAACUAUUAAAUCUCUCUGAAAGCCUCACCUUGUGUUUUUUCUCUUAUAAAGACAAAUCUUCAUCCAUUACCUCAUUGCUGCAAAUGCUGCUUUUGAAUGUAGUGAACAUCCCUGUCUCCUCCUGUGUAGAUUUUUACGCAACGAUCUUUGUAUAGCUUCUUGGGCAGCCACUGCUCGUUUUUCAUCACACUCAUUUCAGAACUUAACUCCUCGAGUUCUCACUCUCUCAUUCUCAGAAAAUGAUUGAAUUUCUACUUCCCCCAAGAAAAAGUAGGAAUUCUCAAUAAGAAUGUAUUGAGCAUCUGCUAAGAAGCAGGAUUUGUGCUAAGUUCUCAGGAUAU